CAUGAACUAAUAACGUCCAAAUUGUCAACAUGAUACUUCUUUGUGGAGUAAAAUUCAAGAAUGCUCAGAAGAAUAUUUCUAUGAAAAGAUACUGGAUGAAGCGCAAAUAUCAAGGAUAUUCCACUAAUUUCAUGGAGUAUAGAAGUCAAAGCUUUAACCAACUGAGUAUAAGAGAAUAUAUGAAACUGCAAAUGGAUUUUCGUCCGCCAUGCGGUAAUCC
rnacentral:lncRNA from 1 species